UACGUAGGGUGCGAGCGUUGUCCGGAAUUACUGGGCGUAAAGAGCUCGUAGGUGGUUUGUCGCGUUGUUCGUGAAAACCUGAGGCUUAACCUUGGGCGUGCGGGCGAUACGGGCAGACUGGAGUACUGCAGGGGAGACUGGAAUUCCUGGUGUAGCGGUGGAAUGCGCAGAUAUCGGGAGGAAUACCGAUGGCGAAGGCAGGUCUCUGGGCUGACACUGACGCUCAUGCACGAAAGCGUGGGGAGCAAACAGG
rnacentral:rRNA from 1 species